AGUGAAGGGGGCGGUUAAAAAGGAUUUUUAGGUCACCGGUACAAAAAGGAGGCAUUCUAGAGAAAUAAGGGUUGCACGUGCUUGUGGUGGGGGGCUGACCCCGGGUCCACGCUCCGGAAAGGAGAGGGGCUGGGAAGCCGGUAUUUCCCGCCUUCCAGGGGUAAAACUGAGCUGGCGGGUCCACGAAACGUUCUGCGAAUUACAAGGGCGGCGGGGAUGGCAGUCAAAAGUAGAAAGCAGUCGGAGCUUCACCUUUUGAGCGCUGAUUUGGGCAAGAAGAAAUCAGGUAAAGCUUGGACAAUUGCCUAACACAGUGCACUGGCACAAAGUUGAAAGAAUAUCUCUGAUCUAAACCUCUCUCCUGAGCUCCACAUUUCCUCUUCCACAAGUGACACUGGGACCACUAUGGAUAUAUAUGGAAUGAAGUCAUCACCCACCCCCUCGUUCUCCAUAUUCUAGACCUCACUGAGUUCAACCUCCCAGUCACCCAUACUACACACCAAAGAGUCAUUUUUGAGUCUCCUUUCUCUCCCUCUG